CCGCGAGGUGGAGCUAAUCUCAUAAAACCGUUCUCAGUUCGGAUUGUAGGCUGCAACUCGCCUACAUGAAGCUGGAAUCGCUAGUAAUCGCGGAUCAGCAUGCCGCGGUGAAUACGUUCCCGGGCCUUGUACACACCGCCCGUCACACCACGAGAGUUUGUAACACCCGAAGUCGGUGGGGUAACCUUUUUGGAGCCAGCCGCCUAAGGUGGGACAGAUGAUUGGGGUGAAGUCGUAACAAGGUAGCCGUAUCGGAAGGUGCGGUUGGAUCACCUCC
rnacentral:rRNA from 1 species